UCUUGUAGCUCAGUGGUUAGAGCACUCGCCUCGGAAGCAAGAGGACCCGGGUUCGAGUCCCGGGAGGGGAG